rnacentral:rRNA from 1 species
UACAGAGGUCUCAAGCGUUGUUCGGAUUCAUUGGGCGUAAAGGGUGCGUAGGCGGCGCGGUAAGUCGGGUGUGAAAUCUCGGAGCUUAACUCCGAAACUGCAUUCGAUACUGCCGUGCUUGAGGACUGGAGAGGAGACUGGAAUUUACGGUGUAGCGGUGAAAUGCGUAGAUAUCGUAAGGAAGACCAGUGGCGAAGGCGGGUCUCUGGACAGUUCCUGACGCUGAGGCACGAAGGUCUGGGGAUCAAACGGG